rnacentral:rRNA from 1 species
UACGAAGGGGGCUAGCGUUGCUCGGAAUCACUGGGCGUAAAGGGUGCGUAGGCGGGUCUUUAAGUCAGGGGUGAAAUCCUGGAGCUCAACUCCAGAACUGCCUUUGAUACUGAGGAUCUUGAGUUCGGGAGAGGUGAGUGGAACUGCGAGUGUAGAGGUGAAAUUCGUAGAUAUUCGCAAGAACACCGGUGGCGAAGGCGGCCAACUGGACCAGCACUGACGCUGAGGCGCGAAAGCGUGGGGAGCAAACAGG